GUGAGGAAUCUUCCACAAUGGGCGAAAGCCUGAUGGAGCAACGCCGCGUGAAGGAUGAAGGCCCUCGGGUUGUAAACUUCUUUUAUAAGUGAAGAAUAUGACGGUAACUUAUGAAUAAGCACCGGCUAACUACGUGCCAGCAGCCGCGGUCAUACGUAGGGUGCAAGCAUUAUCCGGAGUGACUGGGCGUAAAGAGUUGCGUAGGUGGUUUGUUAAGUGAAUAGUGAAAUCUGGGGGCUCAACCUCACAGGCUAUUAUUCAAACUGGCAAACUCGAGAAUGGUAGAGGUAACUGGAAUUUCUUGUGUAGGAGUGAAAUCCGUAGAUAUAAGAAGGAACACCAAUGGCGUAGGCAGGUUACUGGACCAUUUCUGACACUGAGGCACGAAAGCGUGGGGAGCGAACGGGAUUAGAAACCCGGGUAGUCC
rnacentral:rRNA from 1 species